AAUCAACGCUGGCGGCGUGCCUCAGACAUGCAAGUCGAACGCGAAAGUCCCCUUCGGGGGACAAGUAGAGUGGCGCACGGGUGAGUAACACGUAGGUAAUCUACCUUCGGAUGGGGAAUAACAACCGGAAACGGUUGCUAAUACCGCAUAAUGCAGCGGCACCUAAUGGUGACAGUUGUUAAAGCGGGGGAUCGAAAGACCUCGCGUCUGAAGAGGAGCCUGCGGCGGAUUAGCUAGNGGUAAGGUAAUGGCUUACCAAGGCGACGAUCCGUAGCCGGCCUGAGAGGGCGGUCGGCCACACUGACACUGACAUACGGGUCAGACUCCUACGGGAGGCAGCAGUCGGGAAUUUUGGACAAUGGGGGCAACCCUGAUCCAGCCAUGCCGCGUGAGUGAAGAAGGCCU
rnacentral:rRNA from 1 species